CUGGUAUUAUGUCACCCCUAGACUUUUUUCUCUAGAUACGAUAGCAGUGUUCCGAUACUUGAGGGGCUUCUAGAAAGACGUGUAUGUCACACUAUUUUCCAAAGCACCAAAAGGCAAGACAGGAAACAAGGGUUGGAAACUAACCAAGGAGGAAUGCCCUAACAGUGAGAACAGUUGACAAGUGGAAUGGCUUGCUUCAGAAGUUGUGGAUGCUCCAUCACUGGAGGUUUCCCAAAAUAGAUUGUCUGAAACAGGACAGGACAGAGAUCCCCAAUAUUUCCAGCUUUGGGAACCUGUGGGGGGAGGGGAUGUAUCGUGCAAGUGGCUGGCAAAUGCGGAUGGGCACAAAGCUCCAUUUCCAUGAGCAGCAAACAUGUGUUCCUGCCACUCUAGCAAAUGGAGCAUGUGUACAUGUGCUCGCCCGCUGCUUCUGCAAGUGAGGAUGUGCGCGGUUUUGUGCUUGCUUAGCAUUUCCAUGGCCCAGUUGUAAACCCCUCAUGGUCCAGUAGUGGGCUUCAGCCCACAGGUUGGAGACCCCUGGUAUAGGGUCUCCUGCUCAGGCAAGGGGUUGGGGUAGAAGACCCCCAAUGUCCCCUUCCAACUCUGUUAUUCUAUGUUCAAAAUUGUUUUAUUAUUUUCUUAUGGCCCAAAAUUGUGGUUUGGCCUAGAUUUGUUUUUGUUGCAGUCCAUUUACCUCAUCUCUGUUCUUUCCACCAUGUGAGCUGUAUGGUUAUCGCAGUCUCUCUAAGAAAAGUACUGAAUGCAAAGCUCAUUCAAUCCUUCUCCGUUCCACUUUUCUCCUGGCCUCUGGCUACGUCUGCUUCUGAUCCUCCCGAACAGCCUCUCCCCCACCUGAAUUUUGGUGUUUCAAGCUGACGGAAUAUCUAACAUGAUUUGGGACAGAAUUCUAUGGAAGGACUUUGUGCUUUAAUAGCCAGACGUGGUGUCCCUCCAAGCUCAACCAAGCUUAAAAGAGAACCUCAUGCUAUAGGUUCAAGGCAAAGCUUUUCCAGUUGUGUGUGAGCAUCUCACACAUUGUUGCAAUGUUGAACUUCUCUGGCAUCUUAGAAUUCAUCCAGUUCCUUUCUGUCUGCUUCCCUCCAGCACAAGACUUCAACACUCCGAUGUGUAGCUCAGGGUUGAACUAUCAGGUUCUCUCUGAUCGUGGCUGUUCUCCUACAGACCGUUUUUUUAGCAGUCGACAUAAAAUUAUCUGAGCGUGGGAUGGAAGGAAAACCUCACUCUCUCGUGCAUGGACUAUGUUACCUGGCCUGAUCAGGAAACCUCUGCAGAGACACCUCAAGCAUGGAAAGAACAUCCAGAAUGCAGCCAUUUAAGCAGGGUGUUUUCUUGCCUGCUAUCUACUGAACAUCUUGGCCAUAAACCUCAGCUUAUCAAACCAAGUGAAGAAAGCUUACAGUCCCCAAACAUACUUAGACAGCAUGUUUGGGAUUGAACCUAAAAACAUAAAUCAUUCAAGCAUCAUCAGAAAUCAGCUCGGUUCAUUUCUCCUCUUGCAGGGAGUAAAUAUGAUAUUUUGGCUUGGUUUAAUUUUGUGCCCUGCACAGGUUGUGCUACCGUCUAUAAAUUCAGGAAGAGAUAGCCAUUGUCCAGAAGCCCAACUUUUGAACAUGGAAUGGUAGCUGCUUCCUUUAAGACAGGGUUGGUUGGUUCUGCAUCUGGAGUGAAUCCAGUUUCCCUGUUGGUAGUGGGGAAAAUGAGGUCACACCCCCUACCCCUCCCUUCUUCUCCAAGUCUCCCCGCUCUUGAACCUGGAUCUCCAGCCCCCCAAAAGGUUCUCCCAUCCUGACUGCACUUUGAAGGCUGCAGAAGAGAUUGCAAGAUGAAAGCUUUGCUAUUUGCAUUGUUGUUGGUGGCAUUCAUGUGCAAGGACCCAGUUGCGGGUCUGCAGUGUCUUCGAUGUUAUGGUGCUUGCAAAGAGGAAAUAUGUUUGGAAGACCAACCCGUCUGUUAUACUCUGGACAACGGAGUGGGACAGGCUGUUCGCAGAAGAUGUGCCCCCACAUGCCCUCAAGGGGACAAUGGGCUGGAGGCUAAAUGUUGCACAACUAACUUUUGCAAUGAAUGAAACAUCCUUCUGAUUUUAAAAUGAGCUUUGUUGAGUUUUGCUGUCAUCCAUCAUGGACCAUCCUUUGCAGAUUUAGGUUUGUGGCCUUUACGGUCCAUAAUUCAACCCCUCAGCUUCUCUGGACACCUCGCCCUCUCUCCCUUUUCUCCGGGCCUACAUGCUUUGUUCUGCUCUUUCUCUAGUUUGGCAACGGAAUAAAUUUCUGCAUUUAAAUCCAAGCGUACUGGGUGUGUUUGCUAUGAUGUGUCCAUUUUCCUUUUGGGAAAGUUAAAUUGUGGAAUAGUAGAAGGCUGAAAGUUUCUUAUAUAUAUAUAUAUAUAAUCCAUUUACUGAUAAAUUUUUAAUUAGUAUUUUCCUUAACUGGGAAAGAGUGAUGAGCAUGCGGGCUUUUCUGUGACAAAUGAUAGGAAAACACAUUGAAAAUGAGCGUCAUUCCAUGCCCAUCCUUAAAGAGAUCCAGGAGAUUAAAACAGAAGGGGAAUCCCUCCAUCAGGAGCUCUGCUAAAUACGGCCUGGAGAGACCCUUGACCCAUCACCAUGGCCAAAGCAGAGGGAACGAUUGAAAUGAAAACAGAGAUUUCUAAGCUGGCACCUUUCCAGCUGGUUCACCCUCUCAGGUCAGGCAGUUUAUGUGCGCCACGGGCAAAACCCCUGAGUCCUCUUCCUUCUCCAAUGGGUGCAGGUCUGCCUUAGACGCCCAUCACAGAUGGGACAUAAGUGCAUAAGUUUUCUUUAGAAGCAGCGUGGUUUGCAGGAAGACCUGGAACUUGCUCCAAUCCUUUCCUAUCCUUGACUGGGCUCAGCGUAAUCCCUGAUCCAUGUAUUCCAGUUCCAUAUUUGGUCACUUACUAAACUUCUAAUGUUGUGGAAUGCUGUACAGUAACUGGGGGGAGAGAGUCCCACCAUAGCUUAGUCCAUCUCCCUGAUGGACUUCAAAGGUUACAACCAACACCUGGAACUGGACCAGGAAUCAAGCAGGCAACCAACGCAGCUGGUGGAGCAGUGGUGUAAUAUGCACUGCCCUAAAAACAGACAUAUCUGUUCAUCCCAUGGCUUUCUCUACCCACUGACAAUUAUCCAGGUGUCCCGGCAUCCAAUCUAUGUGCCGAAGGGUGAGCCUCUGCCUUUCCAUUGGACUUGACACUACAGGGUGGAGCAGGAAGUGGCCUCCGAUGCUGGGGAGGCAAUGUGCUUCUCCCACCAAUCAACCAACUAUCAAGUUCUCUCUAAUCAUCGCUGCUUUCCUGCAGACCCUUAGCAGGUGACAUAAAAUUAUUUGAGGGUGGAAUGGAAGGAAAAUCUCACUCUCUCAUGCAUGGAGAGUGUUUCCUGAUCUGCAGGGACAUGGCAAGCAUCAAAAGAACAGCCAGAACAGAACCAUUUAAACAGGGUGUUCUUUUGCCGGCUAUCUACUGAAAUUUUGGCCAUAAACCUUAGCUUGUGAAACCGAUUUCCCUUUGUGUAGUGGGGAACGUGAGAUCACCCCUACCCCUCCCUUCUUUCCCAAGUCCCCCCUCUCUUCCCUCUUGAACCUGGAGCUCCAGCCCCCACAAGGUGGGGCAGUGGCACAUAUACAGAACUUCCUUCUCCCAUCCUGGACUGCACUUUGAAGGCUGCAGAAGAGAUUGCAAGAUGAAAGCUUUGCUAUUUGCGUUGGUGGUGGUGGCAUUUUUGUGCAAGGACCCAGUCCUUGUGGAAAGGGAGUCCGGUGUAACUCACCAGAUAUGUUCUGUUUUGCUCUGAACGAACGAAAUGAAGAUUUACUGCGCAGAGGAUGUACUCCCAUAUGCUAUGAAGGGAACGACAUCCUGGAGUUUAAAUGCUGCAACACUGACUAUUGCAAUGUUUAAAAUAUCCUUCUGAGUUUUGCUGUCAUCCAUCAUGGACCAUCCUUUGUAGAUUUAGGCUUGUGGCCUUUACGGUCCAUAAUUCAACCCUUCAGCUUCUUUGGACACCUCGCCUUCUCUCCUUUUUCUCCUGGUCUACAAGAUUUGUUCUGCUCUUUUUGUAGUUUGGCAACAGAAUAAAUGUCUGCUUUUAAAUUCAA